rnacentral:rRNA from 1 species
CAGCAGCCCGAGUGGUGGUCGUUUUUAUUGGGCCUAAAGCGUCCGUAGCCGGUCUAGUAAAUCCUUGGAUAAAUCGUACAGCUUAACUGUACGGCUCCCGGGGAGACUGCUAGACUUGGGACUGGGAGAGGUCGGAGGUACUCCAGGGGUAGGGGUGAAAUCUUGUAAUCCUUGGGGGACCACCAGUGGCGAAGGCGUCCGACUAGAACGGGUCCGACGGUAAGGGACGAAGCCCUGGGGCGCGAACCGGAUUAGAUACCCGUGUAGUCC